rnacentral:rRNA from 1 species
AGAGUUUGAUCCUGGCUCAGAUUGAACGCUGGCGGCAUGCUUUACACAUGCAAGUCGGACGGCAGCACAGAGAAGCUUGCUUCUUGGGUGGCGAGUGGCGAACGGGUGAGUAACAUAUCGGAACGUACCGAGUAAUGGGGGAUAACUAAUCGAAAGAUUAGCUAAUACCGCAUAUUCUCUGAGGAGGAAAGCAGGGGACCUUCGGGCCUUGCGUUAUUCGAGCGGCCGAUAUCUGAUUAGCUAGUUGGUGGGGUAAAGGCCUACCAAGGCGACGAUCAGUAGCGGGUCUGAGAGGAUGAUCCGCCACACUGGGACUGAGACACGGCCCAGACUCCUACGGGAGGCAGCAGUGGGGAAUUUUGGACAAUGGGCGCAAGCCUGAUCCAGCCAUGCCGCGUGUCUGAAGAAGGCCUUCGGGUUGUAAAGGACUUUUGUCAGGGAAGAAAAGGCUGUUGCUAAUAUCGACAGCUGAUGACGGUACCUGAAGAAUAAGCACCGGCUAACUACGUGCCAGCAGCCGCGGUAAUACGUAGGGUGCGAGCGUUAAUCGGAAUUACUGGGCGUAAAGCGAGCGCAGACGGUUACUUAAGCAGGAUGUGAAAUCCCCGGGCUCAACCUGGGAACUGCGUUCUGAACUGGGUGACUAGAGUGUGUCAGAGGGAGGUAGAAUUCCACGUGUAGCAGUGAAAUGCGUAGAGAUGUGGAGGAAUACCGAUGGCGAAGGCAGCCUCCUGGGAUAACACUGACGUUCAUGCUCGAAAGCGUGGGUAGCAAACAGGAUUAGAUACCCUGGUAGUCCACGCCCUAAACGAUGUCAAUUAGCUGUUGGGCAACUUGAUUGCUUAGUAGCGUAGCUAACGCGUGAAAUUGACCGCCUGGGGAGUACGGUCGCAAGAUUAAAACUCAAAGGAAUUGACGGGGACCCGCACAAGCGGUGGAGCAUGUGGUUUAAUU